CCUACGGGUGGCUGCAGUCGAGAAUCUUCGGCAAUGGGCGCAAGCCUGACCGAGCGACGCCGCGUGGAGGAUGAAGGCCCUCGGGUUGUAAACUCCUGUCGAGGGGAAUGAAGGGGCUAUGAAGAAUAGUCCUUGACCGAACCCUGGAGGAAGCACGGGCUAAGUUCGUGCCAGCAGCCGCGGUAAGACGAACCGUGCGAACGUUAUUCGGAAUCACUGGGCUUAAAGCGCGUGUAGGCGGAUCGGCGCGUCGUUCGUUGAAAGCCUCCGGCUCA
rnacentral:rRNA from 1 species